UUUUUUUCUUUUUUUUUUUCAGUACGGGGCAUUGGACUCAGGACUUUGCGCUUGCCAGGCAGGCCUGGCACUGCUGAGCUACAUUCCCGCCCCUCUCCCGCAUUUCUCCAGCUACAGGAUGGGAUGUCUUACUGCUCUAAGUAAGAGUACUCGUGGAGGAAUACGGGAAAGAACUUUGGAAAUGUUGUCUAAACACUGAAGAUGAUCGAAGUGAAAUGCUCUGGAACCAGAGGCUGUUUGAUGAAUGCGUCUAAGGGUAUGUGUAUACAAAUAACAUAAUGGAAAGAAAUGUUGGAACUUGUAGUUCCUUUGGUCUGUGAUAUAUUUGCCAAUUUCCAGA
rnacentral:lncRNA from 1 species